AUGACCUAUCGGGGAGUUAUUUGUGAUACAUGCGAGUGAGGCCAAAACACGGGGAAAGUCAUGUGGUGUUUGCAGGGUCAGUAGACAUAACUUUCGGGCCUUGGAAAUAUUAACGCACCGUCCAUCGGACGGGAUAAGGCCCACUGCCCGAAAGAACGGGCGUGGGUAGCCCAUUAGCCGUGGGCGGUCGAGUUGUUACAAGUAGUAUCAGAGCUGGUUAGCCAUCUCGAUUCUGAUCUGAGAGGUGUCUUGAAACCUGUCGUUGUAUUGCAACGAGGAUAUUGCGUUCUUUGAGAGGAGGUGAAUUGUAAUAUCC
rnacentral:lncRNA from 1 species